rnacentral:rRNA from 1 species
AACGAACGCUGGCGACAGGCUUAACACAUGCAAGUCGAACGCCCCGCAAGGGGAGUGGCAGACGGGUGAGUAACGCGUGGGAAUCUACCUAGUUCUACGGAACAACUGAGGGAAACUUCAGCUAAUACCGUAUACGCCCUAAGGGGGAAAGAUUUAUCGGAAUUAGAUGAGCCCGCGUUGGAUUAGCUAGUUGGUGGGGUAAUGGCCUACCAAGGCGACGAUCUAUAGCUGGUCUGAGAGGAUGAUCAGCCACACUGGGACUGAGACACGGCCCAGACUCCUACGGGAGGCAGCAGUGGGGAAUAUUGGACAAUGGGCGCAAGCCUGAUCCAGCCAUGCCGCGUGAGUGAUGAAGGCCUUAGGGUUGUAAGGCUCUUUCAGUGGGGACGAUAAUGACGGUACCCACAGAAGAAGCCCCGGCUAACUUCGUGCCAGCAGCCGCAGUAAUAC